rnacentral:rRNA from 1 species
UACGGAGGGUGCAAGCGUUCAUCGGAAUUACUGGGCGUAAAGCGUGCGCAGGCGGUUUGUUAAGUCUGUUGUGAAAUCCCCGAGCUCAACUUGGGAAUUGCAAUGGAUACUGGCAGGCUGGAGUAUGGUAGAGGAAGGUGGAAUUCCCGGUGUAGCAGUGAAAUGCGUAGAGAUCGGGAGGAACACCAGUGGCGAAGGCGGCCUUCUGGACCAAUACUGACGCUCAUGCACGAAAGCGUGGGGAGCAAACAGG